rnacentral:misc_RNA from 1 species
UAUAAACGAGUCGAGCUCGAACUCCAACUAGUUCAAGCUCGAAUCCUUGGCUCAUUUAGAAAACGAGUCAAACCAAACCAAACUUUUAUCGAACCAAGCCUCGAAUGGCCCGCGAGCGACUUAGUUCAUUUACAACCCUAAUUGUCGCAAAAUGUAGCAGUGGAUCAUUCAGCUUCGCCAUGUUUAUCAAGAAGGGAAUCGGCCACCGAAAUGGCUUGCAAAUGCAGCUCUGGUUCAUAUUAUGAGGAAUUCAGAUAAUUAUUCAUCCUCCUCACAGCAUCAGUCCAUUUUUAGUUGAUGAUAAUUUGGGGACGCUUAGGCUUCCAGGAAAAGAGUCCAGCUUUCAGACCAAAAAAACUUCAUUUUGCCAUUUGUAUAAAGCCAGGGGACGGGCUAUAUUAAGACGCAUUUACAUGCACG